GCUGAGGCCUAUCCCGACAGCUCCUUCACCAUAGGGUCAUGUCGUUGGAAAUGCCUCAAACAGUAAAUCUGUAGUUUCGCUUUACCCACAUGUUCCCUGCCAUGAGCACAGUGAGAUAUUACUGCAGAACACAU